rnacentral:rRNA from 1 species
AGUGAACGCUGGCGGUAGGCCUAACACAUGCAAGUCGAACGGCAGCACAGGAGAGCUUGCUCUCUGGGUGGCGAGUGGCGGACGGGUGAGGAAUACAUCGGAAUCUACCUUCUCGUGGGGGAUAACGUAGGGAAACUUACGCUAAUACCGCAUACGACCUACGGGUGAAAGUGGGGGACCGCAAGGCCUCACGCGAUUAGAUGAGCCGAUGUCCGAUUAGCUAGUUGGCGGGGUAAUGGCCCACCAAGGCGACGAUCGGUAGCUGGUCUGAGAGGAUGAUCAGCCACACUGGAACUGAGACACGGUCCAGACUCCUACGGGAGGCAGCAGUGGGGAAUAUUGGACAAUGGGCGCAAGCCUGAUCCAGCCAUACCGCGUGGGUGAAGAAGGCCUUCGGGUUGUAAAGCCCUUUUGUUGGGAAAGAAAUCCUAUCGGUUAAUAACCGGUGGGGAUGACGGUACCCAAAGAAUAAGCACCGGCUAACUUCGUGCCAGCCGCCGCCGUAACAC